rnacentral:rRNA from 1 species
UACAGAGGUGGCAAGCGUUGUUCGGAAUUACUGGGCGUAAAGGGCGCGUAGGCGGCCUUCUAAGUCAGACGUGAAAUCCCCCGGCUUAACCUGGGAACUGCGUCUGAUACUGGGAGGCUUGAGUCUGGGAGAGGGAUGUAGAAUUCCAGGUGUAGCGGUGAAAUGCGUAGGUAUCUGGAGGAAUACCGGUGGCGAAGGCGGCAUCCUGGACCAUUACUGACGCUGAGGCGCGAAAGCUAGGGGAGCAAACGGG